AGAUUGAACGCUGGCGGCAUGCCUAACACAUGCAAGUCGAGCGGCAGCACGGGGGCGAACCCUCGGUGGCGAGUGGCGAACGGGUGAGUAAUGCAUCGGAACGUAUCCUUGAGUGGGGGAGUAACGCAGCGAAAGUUAGUGCUAAUACCGCAUAAGCUCUGAGGAGGAAAGCGGGGGCCGGAAAGGCCUCGCGCUGAAGGAGCGGCCGAUGUCCGAUUAGCUAGUUGGUGAGGUAAAGGCUUACCAAGGCGACGAUCGGUAGCUGGUCUGAGAGGAUGAUCAGCCACACUGGGACUGAGACACGGCCCAGACUCCUACGGGAGGCAGC
rnacentral:rRNA from 1 species